GACGAACGCUGGCGGCGCGCCUAACACAUGCAAGUCGAACGGAGUCUAUGAAACAAUCACUUCGGUGUGCGUUUUAUAGUACUUAGUGGCGGACGGGUGAGUAACACGUGAGCAACCUACCCUGGAGUGGGGAAUAACAUUCGGAAACGGAUGCUAAUACCGCAUGAAGUCAGUUGAAGGCAUCUUCGAUUGACCAAAGAUUUAUUGCUCUGGGAUGGGCUCGCGCCUGAUUAGAUAGUUGGUGAGGUAAUGGCUCACCAAGUCAACGAUCAGUAGCCGGACUGAGAGGUUGAUCGGCCACAUUGGGACUGAGACACGGCCCAGACUCCUACGGGAGGCAGCAGUGGGGGAUAUUGCACAAUGGAGGGAACUCUGAUGCAGCGACGCCGCGUGAAUGAAGGAGGUUUUCGGAUCGUAAAGUUCUGUUCUAAGGGAAGAUAAUGACGGUACCUUAGAAGAAAGCCCGGCUAACUACGUGCCAGCCGCCGCAGUAA
rnacentral:rRNA from 1 species